AGUGCCAAGGCAGUAGAAUUGUCACACCACCUCUCUGGGUCCAGGGAUAUGUCACAAUCCCAUUUGUGGCCUGGGCCCAGGGAGGAGCAUCAAAUCACUCUGGUGCUGGGUAAAGUGAUAUGUCAUAAUCACACCAGCAGGAAUGUUUAGGGAUGAGAUUAUGCAUCUGGACUGGAAAGAAUCAACACAUCAAAAAUAUUACCAGACUGUGCAAGAUGGCUCAUGCCUGUAAUCCCAGCACUUUGGAGGCCAAGGGAGAAAAAAACUCAGGCCUAAGUGAUUAUAAACCUGCAAUUAACCUCUGGUUACAAAACCAGGAAAUUUACACCUGGAUCAUACAAAUAAGGUGGACCACAAAUCAGGGCCGGGUGCUUUCCAUUUCACCAAUCACGGUUUGUUCAAAUAAACCCGUUAAUGUUUUAACAUUGACUCCCUUUAGUUUUAAC